GAUGAACGCUGGCGGCGUGCCUAAUACAUGCAAGUCGAGCGAACAGACGAGGUGCUUUCUCCUCUGACGUUAUCGGCGGACGGGAUAGUAACACGUGUAUAACCUACCUAUAAGACUGGGAUAACUUCGGGAAACCGGAGCUAAUACCGGAUAAUAUAUUGAACCGCAUGGUUCAAUAGUGAAAGACGGUUUUGCGGUCGCUUAUAGAUGGAUCCGCGUCGGAUUAGCUAGUUGGUAAGGUAAAGGCUUACCAAGGCAACGAUGCGUAGCCGACCUAAGAGGAGGAUCGGCCACACUGGAACUGAGACACGGUCCAGACUCCUAGGGGAGGCAGCAGUAGGGAAUCUUGCGCAAUGGGCGAAAGCCUGAUGCAGCAAUGCCGCGUGAAGGAUGAAGGUCUUCGGAUCGUAAACUUCUGUUAUUCGGAACGAACAAAUGUGUAAUUAACUAUGCAGGUCUUGACGGUACCGGAACAAAAAGCACCGGCUAACUACGUG
rnacentral:rRNA from 1 species